rnacentral:sRNA from 1 species
AAGGAAGUUAUUAUUUCUAAUAAUUCCAUCCAAAAAUAAAUUGUUAAAACAGUUAAUCAUAAUCUUACAUUAUUUAAUGUCUUUUUUUCUGCUUAAAUAGCAAUAUUUUUUGACUUGUUUUCUGCAGGUUGUAGGAAGUGUCCUGUAUUUUACUAAUUUUUGCCUUGAUAAAUUGGGGCAACCGCUUCUAAAUGAAAACCCUCAGCUUUCCGAAGGAUGGGAAAUACCCAAGUAUCCUACAUAGUGAAUGAAGAUCUUUUAUGCAUCUUGCCACUAAGUUCACCUUUAAAACAAUUUCCAAAUUUUGCAGACCAUGAUAACUAUUCCUUAAUAAAAUUCACUAAAGGUACCAUCAAGUCUUCAGCCACAUUGUUUCUCUAGAAGGGCAAGAAAUACAAGUAAAGGCAAAAAGGUUUGUGUGGGGAGUUGUUUUGUUUUAUUUAUUUACUUUUUUAACCGAAAUCAUAAACUUUUGGCUUGAAAAGGUCAUGUUCUUUACUGCUGGUUUACUCUAAGGUUAAUUACAGAUUGAGCUAGAAUUUUAAUCCAUACAUAUAUGUUAAAUGUUUAAAUGGAUCAUCUGCUUCUUGGAAUUCAUUGGUUCUCACCUAAUGUGCCUGGGCGGGUGGAAAGGUAUAAUUGUUGCUGUCAAUUUGAUUGCAGUCUUACAACCAUCUGCCUUCUUUCCAUGUUACCUAACGGAAAUAUGAUCAAUUGUUCACCUUGAUUCUUCUGUUGUUUACCACUGAAAAAACUCAAAAGAGGUAACAGAUCAGUCAGGAACAGAAGGGUUCUUGGUUAAAAGACUCUGCAUAGUACUAUUUAAAUCACUAAAUAAAGGAGAUUAAAGUGUACUUCUUGUUGCAGAUAUUAGUGAUCUGUGAUCAACUUGCUUUCUUGUCUCUCUGAUACACUUUGCUGUCAUAUAGAAUUUUAUUGAUUUGCUUUUCUAUUUUUAUUGACAUUAUAAAAAUCUUUGUCUUUUGACCAAAUAGGCCAAAGCCUCACUGUUUCAAUUGUGGUUCUGAAGAACACCAAAUGAAAGAUUGCCCAAUGCCUCGGAAUGCUGCUCGAAUAAGUGAAAAGAGAAAAGAGUAUAUGGAUGCCUGUGGGGAAGCAAACAAUCAGAAUUUCCAGCAGCG